rnacentral:lncRNA from 1 species
CAGAUCUAUAACCUGAAACGUGACCCCAUAGUCAGUUUGGAAAUCAGCAAGCAGCGCAAGAUCAUAAAACGUGAAACAGGAGGGCAACUCAAUUUAUUGGGCUCUGAAGAACCAUGCAGACUUGAUCAGCCAUUGCUUGGUAACCUCUGCCAAACCACUUGCUUCAUAUUGCCUGGGAUAAUCCUUCGGGGUUCAGAGCACCCGCCUUAUGUCGAACUGCUUGAUCAGCUUAUUGGCAAAGAUUUCACAGUGACUGGAGUACGCCUCACUGUCCUGGACGCACCACAAGCCCACCGCAUCUCUGAGACACUAAGCAGGGCAAAGUGCAGUGUUUCAGCAAAGCAUUCCCUCUUAAUGGAUGGUUUCUGUCUGGUGCUCGCAGCACAGCGAGACAAUGCGAUCAUUUGCUUUGACUCCCUGCUGGACAGUGCCUGUUGGCAGAAGCAGUCAGUCCUGGACACUGUGCAGCAUCUCCUUUAUCCCCAAAAUGAGAAUCAGGCUGAAGAGCUGCUCUGUUGCCUUUUCGACUCCCUGACAUCUGAGAGCAUACACCGAAUUGAAUCCCACGAUCCCUAGCCAAGAUGGCCAAGCCCCCUAAGCGGCCCAUGAGUGGAUGCCACCGUGGGUAUCUGUGCAGAGGGACACACAGGGGACUCCCAGCCUCUAAAAGCACUAAUAUUUGUCAUUAAAAUUUAAAGUCUGAUGUAUGGUAUUAGCAUCAGUAACAUAAAUGAGAAUGGUGGGAGGAAGGAUCAGUGCCCAAGAACAAAUCUCUGAACUGUAGCCAUGGUUUCUAGUGGAAUACAUUCAGAGACAAGCUGCUUGUGUUUGUGGAGCAAGGUUUGAACAUCAUUUUGCAGAGGCAUCAAGGUUUCUCUGGCUAGGAGAAACUCUGGAAGUAAAGCAAAUGCAGGGGCAGGUGUUCGCUGCUGUCUUUCUCCCAGGUGCUUGGGGACCCCACCUUUGCCAGGCCUCAAAGACAUUAUGGAGAGACUCCAUUUUCUGCUGCUACUGUGUUCUUUGAACCAGAGACAAAAUCACAGUAAAUAAAAUGGAAGUAGUCUGAAGGAAGGUUGGAUCC